rnacentral:lncRNA from 1 species
GAUUGAAGUUCUUGGUUUCUUGUCUGUCCUCAAAGCUUGCUCUUGGACUCUUAGUUGGGUUUGCCACCGGAACUGAUUCUGCUGCUUUCCUUCUCUGCUCAUGCUCUGCCCUCCACUUUCUCAGCUCCUGUUCUACACCCAAUUUCCCUUCCUUGGCUUGUUCUGCCUUCUGCAAUGCAAGUUCCAGUGCUGAUUUUCUUUCAGCCAAUUCACGGUUGACUUCCUCCAGCUGAUUCAAGGUCCUCAAUUCAGACUCUUUAGCCACCUCAAUCUGGGACAUAGCAGCUGCCACCCUCAUGUUAGCCUGUUCCUCUGCAUCAUGUGUCCUCUUGCUCAGCUCGUAAUACUCUUCUAAAGAAAGAGUAACUCCAGUAGGUGUAUCCUCAUCAUUUGUGCUUUGAGCUGAUUCACUCUCUUGCAAUGCAUUGAUAGCUGCAAGUGCCAAUUUCUCUGAAGCCUUUGCAGCCUCUAUUUCCUUUUGAGCUGCAUGUAAUCUACUCUCUAUUGUACUUGCUCCUGCCUUUGCUUGCUCUGCUUCCUCCUUUGCCUUC